rnacentral:rRNA from 1 species
AUGAGAUAUUUGGGGUUGACACUUUCGGUCACGAGGCUUAAGAGAAACCAUUUGCAGUACCUUGAAGACAGGAUUGCGGGAAAACUUGCACCUUGGCGUGGAAAGCACGUGGCUACUCCGGGUCGCAUUGUUCUAGUCAAGUCUGUGCUCACGGCGAUUGCCAUCUACCAUCUCACACCGCUUGAUUUGCCGGUUGAAGUGAAGAAGAAAAUUGACAGUAUCCGGCGGGCGUAUCUUUGGGCUGAUUGUGACAAGGUCUCGGGGGGAAAGUGCAAGGUAAACUGGGAGACGGUGUGCAAGCCAAAACGAUAUGGCGGACUGGGUAUUCUCGACCUUGAGAAGUUUGCUUUGGCGCUCCGCCUCCACUAG